AGGCUUAGCAGAAGCUACACCCGGAUUCCUGCAGCUGAACGGAUGUAACCAGCAUUUGGGCUUUUCUAUUCAGUUACCUCCUUGUGAUAUGCUGUGUAAUACAGGAGGGAGUGAGAAUGGGAAAUCCGAUGACUUCAGGAGUUCAAGGAAGAAAUUCAUGGAAGAGAUUGGUGAUGAUGUCAGCAAGAUCUGCAGACCCACACAAGGUUUCCAUGUGUUUCUUCACUCAGUUUCACUCUUCCCUGGUGGGCAAUAAAUCUGGAAGACAGUAAUUCCCAGAGUUAAGAUGAGAGUAACACAGGAUGUUUGCAGAAGGGUUGAAUAUUUCAAAGGAUAACUGCCAAUACUUCCUUAAAAAACCAACCAACCGACCGACCAACCAACCAACCACAUGAACUCAGGUCUGCAUGUAGGCUGUGAUUCUGCGGGGCUCUGCUGGAUCGGCUUGCUUGAUUCCAGGCCCAGGUCUGUUGUAUGUAUCUCCUCAUCCUGGGACCAUUGGCUACGCAAGGUUUGAUCUUCUCACGGUCGAUGGCGGAAGUUCAAGAGAUCAAGCUGAGUCACAGAGGCACAUUUAAAGCCUCUGCUUCUAUUGCAUCUACUCACACUACUGGCCACAGCAAGUCACAUGACCAAGACUGACAACCACGGGUCAGAAAGAAUACUCUACCCACAGUGAGAAAAUGUCAAAGCCUCAGGCCACGGGCCCACUUCUCUGCCAGGAGGAGACGACCACUCAGGCUGACCCGGCACACAUUCUGGGACCACAAAGGAAAAAGGGUCUUCAGAAUAGAAGUUUUGCUGCAGCAGCUUAAACUAUCCCAGGACUUUUUGGUCUGAUCUUGUGCUAGUUUGGCAUCAUUAACCGCCAGUCUGGAGUUUGGUGCCUAAGAUGUUCUCGGUGAGUGUGAGGUGCUUGGUUGGUGUUUAUCGAAUGGAUAAAUGAGUGACUGAACACAUGAAUGGAAGAAACAUACCCACUGAAGCCAGCGAGUGUGGAUGGGAACAACCACAAGUGGCCCCUCAGUGUCUCUUGGGAUUUCCAAGAGAAUGGAAAUGUCACAUGAUUGAUGCCUUUCCAGCUCUGUGUGGAUAAGUACAAAGAGCUGCUUCCAACCAUCUCUUCAUUUCCUCCAGUUCUUCAGUCCCCAUCAGUGUCUCUGUGCCCCGGAAGACUGAAAACUCGGAGAGGUCAAAGAUCACACUUGUUUUGUGCACACCUUGUCUCCAGUACCCGGCACAAUGCUUUCUACACAAGAAAAAUGACAGGGACUCACUUUCCAAGAAAUUACACUAUGUUCAAUGACUUCCCAUCAAGAGUAAGCAGUGUUCCGUAUCCUGCCAUUGAAUGAAGGGGCUCAAGGACUUUCCCAGAUGAUGUCAGUUGCCAUUUCUGGAUGAAUUCGCAGUUAAGCACCAUCUUGGGACCUAGGACAGCUGAACAAGCCAUUCCUCCUGGGACCCUUCUCUGCAGGACGGUCUCUCCUGGUUGGAAUGACUGGUAAGAGGUUUGUGGUUUCUUCAGAGCGAUUGGUGAGAUUUCACCAAGGGUGGCGCUUUUCCUCCUCCACGUGGGCACUGCCUACCUCAUGGUAAACCACCUCUCCAGCCAGCAGGUGGGCCGGCAGGCAGUGCCCAGGACGAACUGUGGAAUUUCCCUUUGCCCACUCUCUCCAACAAAACAAAGAAAAAGCCUUGCCGACACUUAAAAAUCAGAUUUCCAGUGACCAUCUGGAUCCCCUGGCCCCACGGGAAGACUGCACUGUGCCUGCAUACUCACGUGCAAAACCAGGCAGCACCCACGAUGGAAGGGUCUGGGACCCCUGCCACACAGCGCGGCUCUGACCCGGCAGGUGUUGGCCAGCAGCCGUUGCCAGUACACCCUCCUACUCCAUCCCCCCCUUGGGUGCUGUAGGGGAGCUUGCGUCCUGAGUCCCCGGUAGACUGGGCUGUGUCAGGGGACAGGCUAAAGCCCUACACGUCUGUACUCUGCCCCUUCCUGGCAAAGAGAUCAAGGUUCCAGCUGGUGUCCAUGCACCAGCCAGGGAACGAUGAAGGCAGUGCAUCCACCUGCCCCCUUGCCCCGUCCCCCGACAUCUGGGGCCUUGCUGGUUCUGAAUGUGCUGGCCUUUUAAAAGUUAAACUGCCAUGGGGAAAUGAAGUCCAAAUGAUGCCUUGAUCUGACCAGAAAGGUCUCUUUCCAAAGGGAGGAAAGGGCACCCUUGUGACCCACGGGGUCUAGGCCAUGCUUUCUGUCCUCCCUGGAGACCGUUUGGCGAGACUUGGGCAGGCUGGUUGGGAAAUCGCACCGCAUGCCCCAGCCUCUGGCAUGAGUGACUUCAGACCUGGUCAGUGACUCAGUGCCCCAGGCGCUGCCCUUCCAACUCUGACAGGGUUUCCAGGAGCUUGUGAUUAAUCGCUCUCAGAUUAAAAGAGAGUUCAACUAUUA